rnacentral:rRNA from 1 species
GAUGAACGCUGGCGGCGUGCCUAAUACAUGCAAGUCGAGCGAACAGACGAGGAGCUUGCUCCUCUGACGUUAGCGGCGGACGGGUGAGUAACACGUGGAUAACCUACCUAUAAGACUGGGAUAACUUCGGGAAACCGGAGCUAAUACCGGAUAAUAUAUUGAACCGCAUGGUUCAAUAGUGAAAGACGGUUUUGCUGUCACUUAUAGAUGGAUCCGCGCCGCAUUAGCUAGUUGGUAUGGUAACGGCUUACCAAGGCGACGAUGCGUAGCCGACCCGAGAGGGUGAUCGGCCACACGGGAACUGAGACACGGUCCAGACUCCUACGGGAGGCAGCAGUAGGGAAUCUUCCGCAAUGGGCGAAAGCCUGACGGAGCAACGCCGCGUGAGUGAUGAAGGUCUUCGGAUCGUAAAACUCUGUUAUUAGGGAAGAACAAAUGUGUAAGUAACUAUGCACGUCUUGACGGUACCUGAUCAGAAAGCCACGGCUAACUACGUG